rnacentral:rRNA from 1 species
GCCAGCAGCCGCGGUAAUACGRAGGGUGCAAGCGUUACUCGGAAUUACYGGGCGUAAAGCGUGCGUAGGUGGUUGUUUAAGUCUGAUGUGRAAGCCCUGGGCUCAACCUGGGAAUGGCAUUGGAUACUGGGCAGCUAGAGUGCGGUAGAGGGUAGUGGAAUUCCCGGUGUAGCRGUGAAAUGCGUAGAGAUCGGGAGGAACAUCUGUGGCGAAGGCGACUGCCUGGACCAGCACUGACACUGAGGCACGAAAGCGUGGGGAGCAAACAGGAUUAGAUACCCUGGUAGUCCACGCCCUAAACGAUGCGAACUGGAUGUUGGGCUCAACUUGGAGCUCAGUAUCGAAGCUAACGCGUUAAGUUCGCCGCCUGGGGAGUACGGUCGCAAGACUGAAACUCAAAGGAAUUGACGGGGGCCCGCACAAG